UACGAAGGGUGCAAGCGUUAAUCGGAAUUACUGGGCGUAAAGGGUGCGUAGGCGGUUCGUUAAGUCCGCUGUGAAAUCCCCGAGCUCAACUUGGGAAUUGCAGUGGAUACUGGCAAGCUGGAGUAUGGUAGAGGAAGGUGGAAUUCCCGGUGUAGCAGUGAAAUGCGUAGAGAUCGGGAGGAACACCAGUGGCGAAGGCGGCCUUCUGGACCAAUACUGACGCUCAUGCACGAAAGCGUGGGGAGCAAACAGG
rnacentral:rRNA from 1 species